rnacentral:rRNA from 1 species
GAUGAACGCUGGCGGCGUGCCUAAUACAUGCCAGUCGAGCGAACAGACGAGAAGCUUGCUCCUCUGACGUUAGCGGCGGACGGGUGAGUAACACGUGGAUAACCUACCUAUAAGACUGGGAUAACUUCGGGAAACCGGAGCUAAUACCGGAUAAUAUAUUGAACCGCAUGGUUCAAUAGUGAAAGACGGUUUUGCUGUCACUUAUAGAUGGAUCCGCGCCGCAUUAGCUAGUUGGUAAGGUAACGGCUUACCAAGGCAACGAUGCGUAGCCGACCUGAGAGGGUGAUCGGCCACACUGGAACUGAGACACGGUCCAGACUCCUACGGGAGGCAGCAGUAGGGAAUCUUCCGCAAUGGGCGAAAGCCUGACGGAGCAACGCCGCGUGAGUGAUGAAGGUCUUCGGAUCGUAAAACUCUGUUAUUAGGGAAGAACAAAUGUGUAAGUAACUAUGCACGUCUUGACGGUACCUAAUCAGAAAGCCACGGCUAACUACGUG